UGGGGANUCNUGNNNNNUGGGGGAACCCUGACGCAGCCNUGCCGCGUGAAUGAANAAGGCCUUAGGGUUGUAAAGUUCUUUCGGUAUUGAGGAAGGUUGAUGUGAUAAUAGCACAUCAAAUUGACGUUAAAUACAGAAGAAGCACCGGCUAACUCCGUGCCAGCAGCCGCGGUAAUACGGAGGGUGCGAGCGUUAAUCGGAAUAACUGGGCGUAAAGGGCACGCAGGCGGUUAUUUAAGUGAGGUGUGAAAGCCCUGGGCUUAACCUAGGAAUUGCAUUUCAGACUGGGUAACUAGAGUACUUUAGGGAGGGGUAGAAUUCCACGUGUAGCGGUGAAAUGCGUAGAGAUGUGGAGGAAUACCGAAGGCGAAGGCAGCCCCUUGGGAAUGUACUGACGCUCAUGUGCGAAAGCGUGGGGAGCAAACAGGAUUAGAUACCCUGGUAGUCCACGCUGUAAACGCUGUCGAUUUGGGGGUUGGGGUUUAACUUUGGCGCCCGUAGCUNACGUGAUAAAUCGACCGCCUGGGGAGUACGGCCGCNAGGNUA
rnacentral:rRNA from 1 species